UACGAAGGGGGCUAGCGUUGUUCGGAAUCACUGGGCGUAAAGGGCGCGUAGGCGGCCGAUCAAGUCGGGGGUGAAAGCCUGUGGCUCAACCACAGAAUGGCCUUCGAUACUGUUUGGCUUGAGACCGGAAGAGGUCAGUGGAACUGCGAGUGUAGAGGUGAAAUUCGUAGAUAUUCGCAAGAACACCGGUGGCGAAGGCGGCUCACUGGCUCGUUACUGACGCUCAGGCACGACAGCGUGGGGAUCAAACAGG
rnacentral:rRNA from 1 species